rnacentral:rRNA from 1 species
UACAGAGGGGGCAAGCGUUAUUCGGAAUUAUUGGGCGUAAAGGGCGCGUAGGCGGCCUGGCAAGUGGAAGGUGAAAUCCCUCGGCUUAACCGAGGAACUGCCUCCCAAACUGCUUGGCUUGAGACCGGGAGAGGUGAGUGGAAUUCCCAGUGUAGCGGUGAAAUGCGUAGAUAUCAGGAGGAACACCGGUGGCGAAGGCGGAUCUCUGGGCCUUACCUGACGCUGAGGCGCGAAAGCUAGGGGAGCAAACAGG